rnacentral:misc_RNA from 1 species
CAAGAAGCCGAAAGGCUACUUAAAACCAUCGCGAACUUAUCCAAGUUGCUUCGGCGGCGCGGCUCCCCUCACGGGGGACCGCAGCCCCCGCCUCUCAGGAGGUAAGGGGCAGCCGCCGGAGGUACGAAACUCUGUAUUAUAGUGGUAUCUCUGAGUAUAAAACAAAAUAAGUUA